AAGAAGAUGGGUAUAAAGGCAAAUGCAAUUCCCAGCUCUACAAAAUGAGAAAUCAGAGAGGCUGAAACUCUUGUUCAAAACAUUGGGUAAUGUGAAAGGAAAAAUCUGUUCUUCGAAAGAGCCCCAAACUUUGGGUAGCCUGCAUGAGUGAGCAAGGACUAAGAACUAAGGACACAGAAAUCCCCCUCAACUGCUCAUCCUGAGAGUCUGGAACCAACUGAGCACAAAAAGAUCUCCAAUGAAACCACCCUGAUUGUGCGGUCUGCUGUCCACAUCCCCUGCCCUACCAAGUCCUACGGUCCUCCUUACUCUCCCUAAAACAGGUGCCUGUUUGAUUUUGAGACACUUGCAGAUUGAUGUGUUCUCCUUAUUGUGAUAGUGUUUUCUAAUAUGUCUCUCUUCACUUUGGUCUAGAUUUCUUUUCACUUGACAUCACCCUACUCACAUACACACACACACACCCCUUUUAACUGAAGAGUUUAUUCAACAUGUUUAUUAUGUGUCCUGUGAAGUGUUAGAUGAAGUAUGAGAAGAUGUCACCAAGUAAUUUAUUUUUUUUUAGAAAAUACACACACGAAGCAUUAAAGGAGGCAGUCCAGAAUGGUUAAUAAUGACUUUCCAGAAGACUUUGGACUUGUAGUCAGCCAGUAGAGAAUGUACAACUUGGCUAUUUUGGUAAAGAAAUGGGACUGUGAUUGAGCCAGAGCCCCAAAAUAAUGUCUGAAAAUGAACAAACAAACAAAAUGUGGAGCUUCUUCUGAGAGGAAUAAAGGAGUACAGCAUCCAUAUUUAAUAGAUUGGCGCCU